GCAAACCCUUUUGUAACUGCUCUCCUUCUCCCUGCUGUUGGCCACAGAUGUUAUUACUUAUUUCGGUGGUCAAAACCUCAAUUGGUAAUGGUGGCAUUAGAAAUAGGAUGCCUAUGUGUUGGAAAUAAGAAUGGGCUACUCUUGCCUCACACAGAGUCCGCCUGAGUGUCAAUCACGCAUGUGACUUGUGAGGCCUCUCUUCUCUUUCACGUUUUUUUGUUUGUUUGUUUGUUUUGUUUUUGUUUUUUGUCCUUUUAAUUCAUUUUUUGAUUUAUCUUUUAUUUUUGAGCUAUGAAUCUAUCAUCUAUGACUUGUGUUUUA